UACGUAGGGGGCAAGCGUUGUCCGGAAUUAUUGGGCGUAAAGCGCGCGCAGGCGGUUUCUUAAGUCUGAUGUGAAAGCCCACGGCUUAACCGUGGAGGGUCAUUGGAAGCUGGGGAACUUGAGUACAGAAGAGGAGAGUGGAAUUCCACGUGUAGCGGUGAAGUGCGUAGAGAUGUGGAGGAACACCAGUGGCGAAGGCGACUUUCUGGUCUGUAACUGACGCUUAGGCGCGAAAGCGUGGGGAGCAAACAGG
rnacentral:misc_RNA from 1 species